rfam:Paenisporosarcina sp. HGH0030 genomic scaffold acAqH-supercont1.1, whole genome shotgun sequence.
AUAAGUGGAACGAAGGCUAAGUUCGCCGCGUCCUUGCGGCAACGCCUUCAUGACCCACAUCCUGUGGG